GACGAACGCUGGCGGCGUGCUUAACACAUGCAAGUCGAACGGAAAGGCCCUGCUUUUGUGGGGUGCUCGAGUGGCGAACGGGUGAGUAACACGUGAGUAACCUGCCCUUGACUUUGGGAUAACUUCAGGAAACUGGGGCUAAUACCGGAUAGGAGCUCCUGCUGCAUGGUGGGGGUUGGAAAGUUUCGGCGGUUGGGGAUGGACUCGCGGCUUAUCAGCUUGUUGGUGGGGUAGUGGCUUACCAAGGCUUUGACGGGUAGCCGGCCUGAGAGGGUGACCGGCGACAUUGGGACUGAGAGACGGAGCAGACUCCUACGGGAGGCAGCAGUGGGGAAUAUUGCACAAUGGGCGGAAGCCUGAUGCAGCGACGCCGCGUGCGGGAUGACGGCCUUCGGGUUGUAAACCGCUUUCGCCUGUGACGAAGCGUGAGUGACGGUAAUGGGUAAAGAAGCACCGGCUAACUACGUG
rnacentral:rRNA from 1 species